rnacentral:rRNA from 1 species
ACGCCUGCCUGGGCGUCACGCAUCGCGUCGCCCUCCCCACUCCUCGCCCCGGACGGGACGAGGACCGCGGGUGAGGGCGGAGACUGGCCUCCCGUGCCUUCGCGCGGCCGGCCUAAACCCGGGUCCCUCGCUGCGGGCGUCACGACGAGUGGUGGUUGAAACCCUCAACUCGAAAGCGAGUCGUGCGCGCGCCCCGCGAGCCAGGAGACCGCCAGACCCUGAGGCGAGCGAGCCCCUUGCGAGGAGCGCUCUCCACGACCGCGACCCCAGGUCAGGCGGGGCUACCCGCUGAGUUUAAGCAUAUCAAUAAGCGGAGGAAAAGAAACUAACAAGGAUUCCCCUAGUAACGGCGAGCGAACCGGGAAGAGCCCA